GCCAGCGUGGUGUAUUGGUUUUAUCACUGAACUAUAAUUCUGGAGACCAGGGUUCGAAUCCCCACUCAGCCA